GGGGUUAUAACUCAGUGGUAGAGAACAUGCUUAGUAUGCAGGAGGUCCUGGGGGUUCAAUCCCCAGUACCUCCA
rnacentral:tRNA from 1 species